CGCAGCCACUGGAAUGCAAGCUCCGGAAGGCAGUGAAUGAUUUGUCCACCAUGGCAUCCCUGUGUUCAGCACAUCCUAGCCCGUAUUAAACGUGUUGACUGAAGGAAAGAGUAAAAUGGCUGGCUCACAGCAAAUACUAAGAAAGGAUUUGUGAAUGAAAUGCCUUUGGCACAUUGAGAGAAGCGGACUAAUGUCAAAUGAGCCAUUUAAGUUGGUGAAGGACUAACCCUUGCCUGGCGCAGUUAAUCUGUAGUGACCUUUCGCAUAUGGAAUCAAUAUUUUGAGGCUGGGGUGUACAAGUAGGUUAUCAGAAUUCUUUAUAAUGAAGAAGUGAUUCCAUUUGAUAACCACACAUGGUAGAUGGCACUAUUCGGCUUACAGGAGUCUCAGCCCAAGGCUGGCACAGGGCCGAAGGAGCCAGCAGAACUUAAAUCAGAGGGAAAUAAAUUCUAAGCUUUGAAAGCCCCUGGAAGAGUAAGUCCCCUCAAGCCCAGGAAAAGAGGAAGAGGAUACCCAGCGCAGAGGGAGGCGAUCCUAGACACAACCUUUUGCCUGCAGGUUAUCAAGACUGUGUCCUAGAUUCCAAGGUGACAGUGCCACAGUGUCCUGGUGACCAGUUUUCUAUUUCUUCAUCUUCCUUCCAUGGUGGAGACAUGCCCACUGAGGAUAAAAUAAGAACUAAGGCAGAAUGUCAGCAAAGAAAUUCUUCUGAAAGACAAUAGAUUGGAUGCAACUCUUCUCUGAUCCUUUGCUCCAGUUAUUGAAAUUCACAGUUGCCCUUAAAAAUAUUUUCUCUUUCAUCAUAUCCCUAUGGAGAUUCAGAGGAAACUUUGAAAUGAUACCUUUUCAAUGAGCUCACAAUCUAUGUUUCUUCUCAAAUUUUGCACCUCUCCCCCCACCCCCCACUCUUCUAUACCUAUCAGCCAAAACUUACCAUAAUUAGGCUAGAUGAAUUUGUUACCAGGGAUCUCCUUUAUGCAUUCAUUCAUUCAUUUGUUCAAUGAAUAUUGAUAAGGUUGAACCAAGGUACGGAGCACCUCCCGCUGUAUAAGGUACUUUGGGAUGCAAAUAUGUAUAAUUAGAAGUUUCAAGGGAUUUACAAUCUACCAAGAAAAUAAAACAUGUGCCCAAUAAGGCUGCUUUGAAGAAUUAUGUGAUAAAAGCAAUGAGAGUUGUAUAUCUCAUGUGCUUGCUGCAAAUGACUUUGAGCAAUCUUGUGAAAACGUUCUGCCUCAAUCUCUUGCUUAAUAUAGCCAAGUCCUAGUACAUCGGAGAACAGAAGAUGAUUGGUGAUUUAUUACUUUUCAGUUUUUACAAGUUUAAAGUGGCUAAUAUGACAAAUACCGAAGAACGGUCCCACCUUUCCCAGAGUAGGGAGAGACCUUACUUUAGUCUGUAGAUGUUUACUUGCUGAUUGUCAAUGAGAAUGAGCCAAUGACAUUCACUUGAAGUGUUCAGCGGGGAGCUCUGGACUAUAUUUUUCAGUUUUGUUAUGAUUCUUGCUUGUCUGUAGCCUUAUUUCUUUUGGUCAACACCUGUGCUAAAUGUUCUGGUUGGUGGAAAAUACUGUUAAGUUCAGAUUCAUUAAAAUUCAUGGCAAAAAUGAAAGAAAGUCCUUAAUCAAAGGCACAAGAUAGAUUUUGCAAAGAAAUUACGGCCAGAGAAUUAAUCCAAAAUGUGCUUUGGUUUGGGCUUCUGUACAAGCACGUCUUGGCGGCAGGUCUGGACUCGAGGUUGUGGGAGCUGCAGGAGUGGAAAAUGGAAAUGGCUCAUCUGCACCUGCCCUUUCUCCAGAGAUUUGUCUCAUCAUCCUCUCCCAUGACACACAGGGCCAGUCCACACUCAGAGAGAAGUCUGCAGACCGUCCUUCUUUGAUGCCCAAGCCCCAGCAGGAUGGUGCUCCAAGUCACUGUCACUAAAUUGUAUAUGGUGUUUUACAAACGACUAUAUGAUUGGAUAUAGAAUGUAUUUCUGUGGUAUGUGUGAAUUCCAACUGUUUGCUCUAGAACAGCACUGUUCAGUAGAACACUCUGCAGUGACAAAAAUAUUCUGCAAAUCUCCAUGGUCCAAUACAAUAGCCACUAACCACAUGGCUAUUGAGGAUUUAAAAUAUGGAACUGGAUUUUUAAUUUUAUUUAAUUUUGAUUACAUAAUUUUAAUUUAAAUAGCCACAUAUGUCUAGUAGUUUACCAUAAUGGACAGUGCAGUCCUAGAAAAUAACUUCAUCCAUUUUGAUUUUAUAAAUGGAAAUGGAAAAUAACCACCCUAUGAUAGUGACACAGUUCUGACUUAGGUGCAUGAAUUAAUUCUCUUAAUUUUGACAUAAAUAUAAUGAAUGAAAUUUCAAUCCUUCUGCUAUUGAUGAAAAAGUAAGGCUUUAACUUCAGUUGUCUAGACUGAAUAUAUAACUGACCAACUGCUCACUUUGAUUUUUUUUCUAUUUAUUAUACAUCUUACAUCCCACACCUAGCCAUAGAUAUUUAAGAUUAAAUUAGUCUUCUAUCUUAGGAACACAUAAUAGAACCUUCUAAUAAAGACACAAAAUUAUAAAAACAUAAAUAAAAUAAAUGCAAAUAAUAUUAAUAAAUUCUGUAGAUAAUUCAAAAUGCUGUUCGAAUGAGACUUCUGAACAACUUGGUGGCAUGGCUACACUGGAGCUAAAUUUGCUAUUAUUUGAAAAUUCUGAAAUCAAGUGCUAUAAAUGAUGUGUUCUAAUAAGAAAUAAUCACCUCUUGAGAGUAUGGUAACGUGUAUGAGACUAAGCACAACUAAUACAAAACAGCAUAUAACCUGAAUUUUAUGUAGAGCUCAUUUCUGGGAGGAAGUGUUCCCAAUGUUUGCACCAGAAUUAGAAGCAACCAGAGACUCAAUUGGUCUGAUGCUAAUAACUAUGCAGGAGCUUUCCUAAGAUGCUGAAUGUGCACUUCUGAGCCCCCUUCCACUCACCAGUCUGUGUUGAUGAGCCCAGGUGCGUACAACUGACUAGAAUUUCAUCACUUUUAAACAUGCACUAUUGAGUUGAUGCCAUAUCCAUGAAUAUGAUUGAUUUAGACAAGACUGAAAAAUAUAGCGUUUUAGAUAACCAGGGGGUUCAGCCGAAUUCUAAGGAGGGGCUUGAGAGCACCUGCUCCUCUAGUUGCAUUAAUAUGGCUCCUGGAGGCCAGGCAUGGUGGCUCACACCUGUAAUCCUAGCACUUUGG